ACCAUCAGAGCAAAUGCGAGGCUUUGAUGAGUAGGAGGGCGUGAUCGUUCCCUCGAAGUAUUGGGCGUGAGCCUAUAUGGAGCAGCGAUUAGUGCAGAUCUUGGUGGUAGUAGCAAAUAUUCAAAUGAGAACUUUGAAGACCGAAGUGGGGAAGGGUUCCAUGAGAACAGCAAUUGGUCAUGGGUUACUCGAUCCUAAGGCAUAGGGCAAGUCCUUGUAAUGCAAUACGACGUACGUCGUAGCUGCCAAAAGGGAAAGGGGUUAAUAUUCCUCUAGUUGGCCGUGGAUAACAUGUGGUAACACAAAUGAGUCCGCAGACGUCGGCAUGACCCCCUGGAAGAGUUAUCUUUUCUUUUUAACUGUUUAUGGCCCUGAAAUUGGAUUAUCCAGAGAUAGGGCUGUAAGGCAGGCAGAGCAGUUCACCCUAUGAACUGUCAGGUGCGGUCAUGACGACCCUUGAAAAUGCGGAGGAGAUAUUUAUAUCACGCCAAAUCGUACCCAUAACCGCAUCAGGUCUCCAAGGUUAGCAGCCUCUGGUCAAUAGAAGAAUGUAG
rnacentral:rRNA from 14 species